UCCGAAUUGGUGUAGUGGCUAACAUUUGACGCUCUCAUCCUCCGUCCUUUGGUUCAGGAAGAAGUACCGUCAAGCCCGGGGUUCGAUUCCCCGAUUCGGAG